rnacentral:rRNA from 1 species
AUUGAACGCUGGCGGCAUGCCUUACACAUGCAAGUCGAACGGCAGCACGGGAGCUUGCUCCUGGUGGCGAGUGGCGAACGGGUGAGUAAUACAUCGGAACGUACCCAGUAGUGGGGGAUAACGCACCGAAAGGUGCGCUAAUACCGCAUACGACCUACGGGUGAAAGCGGGGGACCGUAAGGCCUCGCGCUAUUGGAGCGGCCGAUGUCUGAUUAGCUAGUUGGCGGGGUAAUAGCCCACCAAGGCGACGAUCAGUAGCUGGUCUGAGAGGAGGAUCCGCCACAAUGGGACUGAGACACGGCCCAGACUCCUACGGGAGGCAGCAGUGGGGAAUUUUGGACAAUGGGGGCAACCCUGAUCCAGCAAUGCCGCGUGUGCGAAGAAGGCCUUCGGGUUGUAAAGCACUUUUGUCAGGGAAGAAAUCUUUCAGGCUAAUACCCUUGGAAGGAUGACGGUACCUGAAGAAUAAGCACCGGCUAACUACGUGCCAGCCGCCGCAGUAA